CCUACGGGAGGCAGCAGUGGGGAAUAUUGCACAAUGGGGGGAACCCUGAUGCAGCAACGCCGCGUGGGUGAAGAAGUACUUAGGUAUGUAAAGCCCUGUCAGCAGGGAAGAAAAUAACGGUACCUGACCAAGAAGCCCCGGCUAACUACGUGCCAGCAGCCGCGGUAAUACGUAGGGGGCAAGCGUUAUCCGGAUUUACUGGGUGUAAAGGGAGCGUAGACGGCAAGGCAAGUCUGGAGUGAAAGCCCGUGGCUCAACCACGGGACUGCUUUGGAAACUGUGUUGCUGGAGUGCAGGAGGGGUAAGCGGAAUUCCUAGUGUAGCGGUGAAAUGCGUAGAUAUUAGGAGGAACACCGGUGGCGAAGGCGGCUUACUGGACUGUAACUGACGUUGAGGAGCGAAAGCGUGGGUAGCAAACAGGAUUAGAUACCCCGGUAGUC
rnacentral:rRNA from 1 species